GGGGAGAGAGCUCAGCACAGUAGAGCACAGGAUUUACAUGCCUGAAACCCCAGAGGUCCCAGGUUCAAUCCCUGGCACCACCA
rnacentral:tRNA from 1 species